rnacentral:rRNA from 1 species
AUCUUGCGCAAUGGGCGAAAGCCUGACGCAGCGACGCCGCGUGAGUGAAGAAGGCCUUCGGGUUGUAAAACUCUGUCCUCAGGGAAGAAGCGAGUGACGGUACCUGAGGAGGAAGCACCGGCUAACUACGUGCCAGCAGCCGCGGUAAUACGUAGGGUGCAAGCGUUAAUCGGAAUUACUGGGCGUAAAGCGUGUGUAGGCGGUUCGGAAAGAAAGAUGUGAAAUCCCAGGGCUCAACCUUGGAACUGCAUUUUUAACUGCCGAGCUAGAGUAUGUCAGAGGGGGGUAGAAUUCCACGUGUAGCAGUGAAAUGCGUAGAGAUGCGGAGGAAUACCGAUGGCGAAGGCAGCCCCCUGGGAUAAUACUGACGCUCAUGCACGAAAGCGUGGGGAGCAAACAG